rnacentral:rRNA from 1 species
CUCAGUAACAAGUAAUUAACUUACCCUUUAGAGGGGGAUAACCUCGGGAAACUGAGACUAAUACCCCAUAGAUGAAAUUGCUUGGAAUAGUGUUUCAUCAAAAGACUGUCGAAUUGGAGACUGUUCGCUAAAGGAUAGAAUUGCUCUCGAUUAUGGUUGUUGGCGAGGUAAUGGCUCACCAAGCCUGUAAUCGAUAAGGGCCGUGAGAGCGGUAGCCCUGAGAUGGGGACUGAGACAACGCCCAGGCCUUACGAGGUGCAGCAGGCGCGAAAACUUUACAAUGCACGCAAGUGUGAUAAGGUCACCCAGAGUGUCAUAUGACUGUUGUAGGUGUGUAGGAUACCCUACGAGGAAGGAGAGGGCAAGGCUGGUGCCAGCCGCCGCGGUAAAACCAGCUCUUCAAGUGAUCGGGACUUUUAUUGGGCUUAAAGCGUCCGUAGCCUGUUUGAUAAGUUCUUGGUUAAAUCUGGCAGCUUAACUGUCAAUUUGCUAAGAAUACUGUCUUACUAGAGGAUGGGAAAGGUCAGAGGUACUUCAGGGGUAGCAGUGAAAUGCGUUAAUCCUUGAGGGACCACCAGUGGCGAAAGCGUCUGACUGGAACAUGCCUGACGGUGAGGGACGAAAGCCAGGGUAGCGAACGGGAUUAGAUACCCCGGUAGUCCUGGCCGUAAACGAUGCGUGCUAGGUGUUGGUAUGGUCAUGAGCCGUACCAGUGCCAGAGGGAAACUAUUAAGCGCCCGCCUGGGAAGUACGCUUGCAAGAGUGAAACUAAAG